AUGUCGUUGGCUGGGCGGCGUGUUUUAGUACGUUGCGUCCCCUCGACCAUGCCCACUUUUGCUCUCACAGCCCUUCGAGCUCCAAAGAAAUUUUAUGAAGAUAUUGACAAAUCACGAUGGCGUUUUCUUUGGGCGGGAGAUGAGGAGAUGUCCGGUGGAAAGUGCAAGGUGGGCUGGAGCAUGGUGACCACGCCGGAGCAGUAUGGUGGUCUCGGCAUCCACGAUCUUCCUCGCUUCGCCAGGGCUCUACGUCUGCGAUGGCUUUGGCAAACCUGGACGCACCCAGACAAACCCUCGUAA
rnacentral:rRNA from 1 species